rnacentral:tRNA from 1 species
AGUAGGGUCAGCUAAUAAAGCUAUCGG